rnacentral:lncRNA from 1 species
CCACGUGACCAACUCCGGAGCGCACUACUUGUGUGGGGCUUCCAUCACAAGAUUUAAAAACAGACCGUGAGCAUGAUCCAAUCCUCGUCUCGAGAAUACCCUAUCCUCUAGGGUUACAAUCAUCAUAUAGUCCAUGGGUUUCACAUACUCUACGACUCACAUGUGUCAUUUGUUCUUUUGCUUAUUAUCGACUAAAUGCCACUCGUUCAUUUGUUUACUAUCGACUAGAUGCCACUCGUUCUUUGUUUAACAUUAGACCAACCAUUGAGCCCAUCUCUUCCUCUGCACUAUAGGAUUCACAAAUCUCGACCCAAUCCUUAUCGAU